rnacentral:rRNA from 1 species
UUGCUCUUCUUGGAUGAGUUGCGAACUGGUGAGUACGCGUAGGUAACCUGCCUUGUAGCGGGGGAUAACUAUUGGAAACGAUAGCUAAUACCGCAUAACAAUGGAUGACCCAUGUCAUUUAUUUGAAAGGGGCAAAUGCUCCACUACAAGAUGGACCUGCGUUGUAUUAGCUAGUAGGUGAGGUAACGGCUCACCUAGGCGACGAUACAUAGCCGACCUGAGAGGGUGAUCGGCCACACUGGGACUGAGACACGGCCCAGACUCCUACGGGAGGCAGCAGUAGGGAAUCUUCGGCAAUGGGGGCAACCCUGACCGAGCAACGCCGCGUGAGUGAAGAAGGUUUUCGGAUCGUAAAGCUCUGUUGUAAGUCAAGAACGAGUGUGAGAGUGGAAAGUUCACACUGUGACGGUAGCUUACCAGAAAGGGACGGCUAACUACGUGCCAGCAGCCGCGGUAAUACGUAGGUCCCGAGCGUUAUCCGGAUUUAUUGGGCGUAAAGCGAGCGCAGGCGGUUUGAUAAGUCUGAAGUUAAAGGCUGUGGCUCAACCAUAGUUCGCUUUGGAAACUGUCAAACUUGAGUGCAGAAGGGGAGAGUGGAAUUCCAUGUGUAGCGGUGAAAUGCGUAGAUAUAUGGAGGAACACCGGUGGCGAAAGCGGCUCUCU